rnacentral:rRNA from 1 species
AUACGUAGGGUGCAAGCGUUAAUCGGAAUUACUGGGCGUAAAGCGUGCGCAGGCGGUUUUGUAAGACAGUGGUGAAAUCCCCGGGCUCAACCUGGGAACUGCCAUUGUGACUGCAGGGCUGGAGUGCGGCAGAGGGGGAUGGAAUUCCGCGUGUAGCAGUGAAAUGCGUAGAUAUGCGGAGGAACACCGAUGGCGAAGGCAAUCCCCUGGGCCUGCACUGACGCUCAUGCACGAAAGCGUGGGGAGCAAACAGGAUUAGAUACCCUGGUAGUCCACGCCCUAAACGAUGUCAACUGGUUGUUGGGGAUUUAUUUUCUCAGUAACGAAGCUAACGCGUGAAGUUGACCGCCUGGGGAGUACGGCCGCAAGGUUAAAACUCAAAUGAAUUGACGGGG